UGGAUUGUUGUUUCUGUGUUUCGAAAAUAUAAAUAUCUUGAUAAUGGAUCAAUCUUACUAUGGUUUGACAGGGAUUGCCGGGUCUAAUUUUUUUUUUUCUCCUCCUGAACGUGUUUGACGUUUAUUGAGGUAUAAACGGGGAUAAACUCCCUUUGUCGUGGCUCCAAACAGGGACAAAUUCUAAUGCUAAUCCCUCUCAAACUAUCCUAGGCGGC
rnacentral:lncRNA from 1 species